UACGGAGGGUGCAAGCGUUAUCCGGAUUCACUGGGUUUAAAGGGUGCGUAGGCGGACAGGUAAGUCCGUGGUGAAAUCUCUGAGCUUAACUCAGAAACUGCCAUGGAUACUAUAUAUCUUGAAUGCUGUGGAGGUAAGCAGAAUAUGUCAUGUAGCGGUGAAAUGCUUAGAUAUGACAUAGAAUACCUAUUGCGAAGGCAGCUUACUACGCAGAUAUUGACGCUCAUGCACGAAAGCGUGGGGAUCAAACAGG
rnacentral:rRNA from 1 species